UCCCACUCAUCGUGGGCAGUUUCUCCAGAGUGCCCCCUUUCGGGUGGCAACAGGAAAUGGGGGUUGCGCUCGUUGCGGGACUUAACCCAACAUCUCACGACACGAGCUGACGACAACCAUGCAGCACCUCGGCUGGUUCCUGACUUUACAGGUCGUCCUCCCUUUCAGGAAGCUUACUUCCAGUCGUUCGAGCCCAGGUAAGGUUUUUCGUGUUGCGUCGAAUUAAACCACAUACUCCACCGCUUGUGCGGGUCCCCGUCAAUUCCUUUGAGUUUCAACCUUGCGGUCGUACUCCCCAGGCGGGGUACUUCCUGCGUUAGCUGCGGCACGGAACCCGUUGAUAAGGCCCCACACCUAGUGCCCAACGUUUACGGCGUGGACUAC
rnacentral:misc_RNA from 1 species